CUUUCCUUCGGGACAGAGGAGACAGGUGGUGCAUGGUUGUCGUCAGCUCGUGUCGUGAGAUGUUGGGUUAAGUCCCGCAACGAGCGCAACCCUUAUGCUUAGUUGCCAGCAGGUCAAGCUGGGCACUCUAAGCAGACUGCCGGUGACAAACCGGAGGAAGGUGGGGAUGACGUCAAAUCAUCAUGCCCCUUAUGACCUGGGCUACACACGUACUACAAUGGCCGGUACAACGGGAAGCGAAGCCGCGAGGUGGAGCCAAUCCUAGAAAAGCCGGUCUCAGUUCGGAUUGUAGGCUGCAACUCGCCUACAUGAAGUCGGAAUUGCUAGUAAUCGCGGAUCAGCAUGCCGCGGUGAAUACGUUCCCGGGUCUUGUACACACCGCCCGUCACACCACGAGAGUUUACAACACCCGAAGUCGGUGGGGUAACCCGCAAGGGAGCCAGCCGCCGAAGGUGGGGUAGAUGAUUGGGGUGAAGUCGUAACAAGGUAGCCGUAUCGGAAGGUGCGGCUGGAUCACCUCCUUUCUAUGGAGA
rnacentral:rRNA from 1 species